UCUAUUUCGUCGCGUACGAUUAGUUAGAAAGGUAGGCUGAAAAUCAUUUCUUUCUUAAAUAAAUAGUUUCAGAAUGAUCUAAAUGAGUUUCUUUUUGUUUUUGAUGAUACAAAUUAAUGUUAACAAUCGUGUUUUGAUUAUUUAUUGUUACAAACUUUUUAUCGCACUUACCACACGGAAAAGGCUAAACUACUUCGGUGUGUCCGAGCAAAGGAGACACCAAACGAAUGUGCAGGAUGGACACAGCACAGGGCUCAGAUUCUCUGGACAAGGUUGUUCGAAAAUGGAGCACAUCUUGUGAUACUUCGGAUUUAAAUUCUGAUCAGGAAUCAUGCAGGAAAUCCAAACCUAAAAAGCAAUUUGCCUUGUUGGACAGUUCUCCACUGAGGAAACGUCACUAGGCUUACUCUCAGAGCGGGAAUACUUUUAACAGAAAGAGGAAAUUAGCGUUCCUGCCACCACCACCAACACCUCCACCAGCACAUCAAC